rnacentral:rRNA from 1 species
CACGUAGGAGGCGAGCGUUAUCCGGAUUUACUGGGUGUAAAGCGCGUGCAGGCGGUCUGUUAAGUCGAGCGUGAAAGCGCCUGGCUCAACCGGGCGAGGACGUUCGAGACUGGCGGACUAGAGGCAGGGAGAGGCGCGUGGAAGUCCGGGUGGAGUGGGGAAAUGCGUAGAGAUCCGGAGGAACACCAGUGGCGAAGGCGGCGCGCUAGGCCUGGCCUGACGCUCAGACGCGAAAGCAUGGGGAGCGAACGGG